AUCGUCCACAAAAAAAGUCGACUUCUGGCCUAUAUUCCGCCCUACCACCGCGGUUGUCAUGUACACAGGCCGACACAAACUGUAAACAAAACACCGAUCGAUAUUAGUCAGAACCACAACUAAAAGCUGUGCAGCCUUUGUCACGACCACUCGUAUUCCAAAAUUAAAAAAGCUUUUUGUCAAUUACGGGCGCGAAUUCUUGACAUAAAUUCCGGCGGGAAAUGCUCGCAGAUUUACACGUUCGGAUACGCGAAUGAAGGAUUUUAUUGUGUGGGAUUGUUCGCGCAUCAAGCUGUGGAACAACGUGGCAUCCUGUAUGGAGAAAUGGUUCGGUGAUAAACGGUUGUGGUUAUUUGGUAACAACCUGCCGCUGCUACCGAGAAGAUCACGCGCGAGCAGUCGCGCUAUGGAGCGGUACGAGAAGCUCGCCAAGCUCGGCGAGGGCUCGUACGGGCUCGUUUACAAGUGCCGCAACCGCGACACCGGCGAGAUCGUCGCCGUCAAGAAGUUUGUCGAGAACGAGGACGACCCGCUCAUCAGGAAGAUCGCGCUCAGGGAGAUACGGAUGCUCAAGAAUCUAAAGCAUCCGAACCUGGUGAAUUUGAUCGAGGUGUUUCGUCGCAAGCGCAAGCUGCACCUCGUCUUCGAGUAUUGCGACCACACGGUGCUUCAUGAACUAGAGAAAUUUCCAGCCGGCUGCCCGGAGCUGCUCUCGAAGCAGAUAAUCUGGCAGACGCUACAGGGCGUCGCGUACUGCCACCGACACAACUGCAUCCACCGCGACGUCAAACCGGAGAACAUCCUGCUGACCAGUGAGGGCGUCGUCAAGCUCUGCGACUUUGGCUUCGCGAGGAUGAUCAGUGGCAGUUGUUCGUCGGAGUACUCCGUCCAUACGAUGAUACCGUUCGGCGUGGAUGUGCGCAGGAGAGCUAGUCCAGGCCCGGGCGAGAGCUACACGGACUACGUGGCGACGCGCUGGUACCGCGCGCCCGAGCUGCUCGUCGGAGACACCAUGUACAGCACGCCGGUCGACGUGUGGGCCAUAGGCUGCGUGUUUGCCGAGCUCCUUUCCGGCGAAGCGUUAUGGCCGGGCAAGAGCGACCUAGACCAGUUGUACCUCAUUAGGAAAACCCUCGGCGACCUGCUGCCCAGGCACAUGACUAUAUUCUCACAAAACACCUUCUUUCAGGGCAUGGCGCUACCAGAACCUACAACGUCAGAGCCACUUGAGAGGAAGAUCCCACAAAGAUAUUCCAGCAACGAGCUGGUCCUAGAUUUUAUGAAUAAAUGCCUAGACAAAGACCCCAUGAUGAGGUGGACGUGCGAGCAGUUGUUAAGGCAUCCAAUUUUCGAGAACUUCCUAUUCACAGUACCACAUUCAGACCACGAGGAGUAUGAGAAGGCCAGAAGAGCACAGCGUGAAUUUGCGGAACGUUACCUAAUGAAAGACGACCAAGAUGAUAUGCAAAGUGAAUUAGUUUCACCAACUCCAAGGAAGAAGGGCAAAAAGAAAUGAUCGCACGCGAAGAGCUUUAGUAAGCGCGUGCAGUACCACGGCGUUCUGAGGUGCAGUCAUCACCACUGCUGCCUCAGUUGAUAGUGUCGGAGCGGAGCCAGCCCGCGAAGGGCAAGAAGUCGGAGCUGGACUCCAG